UGAGGGGAGUGGGUAGCAUGAUAAAAGAUAUGCAAGACUGGUAUCCCUAUAGUGACAAUUAGUGUAUUGACUGCAGUAAUGGCAUGGCACAUACCUGUGGAGGGCAUGUACCAUUAGGUGGUUUAAUUUUUCAUAUCCUAGUUUUUGUGGUUGUAUGUCAGUCACAUUAUGUGUAGCAAUCUUGCCUGUUUUCACAGAGUUGUGCACUAAUUUCCUAGGUUUUUUUAAUCUUUAACUUACUCCACAAUGGUAACAAGCUAGUGAAACUGGAUUAUAACAUCAUUCCAAUGAUGCUGAGCUACACUAAAGAUGCAUGCUCAAAGCAAAGAAAGUAAAAAGCAUUUAGCUACAUAAAUUGCUCAAUUAUCCCCAUUUGUGAAAUGGAACACUGAGGGACCGGGUACAUUAAGCAAAUCUAUUGAACUCAUGUAACAGGUCUGUGGCUGAGCUAGGAAUUAAACCUAAAUCUCUGAGUCUCAGGUCAGUGCUCUAUCCACUGAACCAUCUUUCCUACCCUUGAACACACAAAUGCAAUUGCAGUUAAUGGAAGCUGUGGAUGCACAAAGGUUCGGAGGGAAGGGCAGGGGAAGAAAAUGAGCUUAUGUCUUCCUGAAUUCAUACAAGUUUUUCUUUACUUACACUCAGUAAACACUGAGAUCUAUUAAGGUUUGUCUACACAUGGCAUUAUUCAGGAAUAGCCCUUAAAGGAAAAAGGAGUUAGCCUAUGUCCUUUUGUAUGAAGGUGGCCUGAAAGGAUUUUUUUUUUUGUGAAAACCUAACUACUUAUUUUACAUUAAAGAUGCAGAUCUUGUCUGGCCCAGAAGACUAUGAUGGAGAGCCAGUGAAAUGCUACCACCGUAAAACCUGAGUGAAAACUAAGCAAUGGAGAGAUGAGAGGAUUUAGCGGGGGAGAAGGGAGGGAUAUUAACACCUAAACUUCAAUGACUGAUCCAGCGAGUUGCGAACACAUUUUGGGAGAAUCUUCUAAAUCGGCAAUGGACACUGACCAGAAAAGUCCUUUGCAAAGCACGCUGCUUCAUGGUCAUGGGAACACAGCCCGAUAUUGAUUAAUCUCUGAUGCGAGGCAAGCAAAAAUAAUAGAUUUUAGCGAGACUACCACUAAUGACCACACAUACCAGCAAGCAAUGAAGAAGCCAGCAACACUGGAAAUUUACCACAUCAGUGACCAGUGCAGAGCGCAGAUUAAACAGCUCAAGACAGAAUACUGGAAAACCAGGAACCAGAAGCCCAUCUUGGACAACCUACUGACAUUAUACCCGUUUUAUGAUGUGUUUGACCAAGUGCUGGGCACUGCACUGAGUGCAGCGUCAACAACAGUGCACGAUGACCUAAUCAGGCGCGAUGGCGAUCUAGUGCCCUUGGAAUCUAGCAUUGGAACUGUGGGGAACCAGCAGCAGUCACCAGCUGAGACUAGUGAAGCGACCCUUCUGUGACACUGGUCCCAAAGGAGAUUUUGCUGUAGGAGCUGCAGUACAUUCUGGAGCUGUACUUGGAAGAGCUUUUUGAUCCCCCCUCCCCCCCACACCCUGAGGAAAGAACGGCUGUGGAACUGGCAGCAAAAAUGAAACAGGCAGCAGCUGCCUGGAGCUUGCCCCUUGACCUCUACAAGUUACAGUAACUCCACAGCAUGCCCACAGUGCGGCAGAAGCCUGGGUCAACGUAACUUCAGACCAUUCCUAGAGGAGCAUUUGUGAUGAACUUAUGGUUGAAGUACUGGAAAGGGCUAACAAGCAGCUUCAAUACCAAAGACAGAGGGACUUAUGGCUAGAGGACGGGCAUGGCAA